rnacentral:tRNA from 1 species
GUUCUUGUAGUUGAAUACAACGGUGGUUUUUCAAGCCGCAGGUCCUGGUUAAAACCCUGGCAGGAAUU